AUUGAACGCUGGCGGAAUGCUUUACACAUGCAAGUCGAACGGCAGCACGGGGCAACCUGGUGGCGAGUGGCGAACGGGUGAGUAAUAUAUCGGAACGUGCCCAAUCGUGGGGGAUAACGUAGCGAAAGUUACGCUAAUACCGCAUACGAUCUACGGAUGAAAGCGGGGGAUCGCAAGACCUCGCGCGAAUGGAGCGGCCGAUAUCAGAUUAGGUAGUUGGUGGGGUAAAGGCUCACCAAGCCAACGAUCUGUAGCUGGUCUGAGAGGACGACCAGCCACACUGGAACUGAGACACGGUCCAGACUCCUACGGGAGGCAGCAGUGGGGAAUUUUGGACAAUGGGCGCAAGCCUGAUCCAGCCAUUCCGCGUGCAGGAUGAAGGCCUUCGGGUUGUAAAC
rnacentral:rRNA from 1 species